rnacentral:rRNA from 1 species
CCUACGGGAGGCAGCAGUGAGGAAUAUUGGUCAAUGGCCGCAGGGCUGAACCAGCCAAGUCGCGUGAGGGAUGACGGUCCUCGGGAUGGUAAGCCUCUUUUGUCAGGGAGCAAAGGGCGCCACGUGUGGCGCUUUGCGAGUACCUGAAGAACAAGCAUCGGCUAACUCCGUGCCAGCCGCCGCGGUAAUACGGAGGAUGCGAGCGUUAUCCGGAUUUAUUGGGUUAAAAGGGUGCGCAGGCGGAAGGUCAAGUCAGCGGUAAAAUUUCGGGGCUCAACCCCGUCGUGCCGUUGAAACUGGCGUUCUUGAGUGAGCGAGAAGUAUGCGGAAUGCGUGGUGUAGCGGUGAAAUGCAUAGAUAUCACGCAGAACUCCGAUUGCGAAGGCAGCAUACCGGCGCUCAACUGACGCUCAUGCACGAAAGCGUGGGUAUCGAACAGGAUUAGAUACCCGGGUAGUC